GGGGGCAUAGCUCAGCAGUAGAGCAUUUGCCUGCAGCUUAAGAAGUCCCCAGUUCAGGUCUAGGUGAUUCCC
rnacentral:tRNA from 1 species